rnacentral:rRNA from 1 species
AUACGUAGGUGGCGAGCGUUGUCCGGAAUUACUGGGUGUAAAGGGCGUGUAGGCGGGGAUAUAAGUCAGGUGUGAAAUACCGGGGCUCAACUCCGGGGGUGCAUCUGAAACUAUAUUUCUUGAGUGCUGGAGAGGAAAGCGGAAUUCCUAGUGUAGCGGUGAAAUGCGUAGAGAUUAGGAGGAACACCAGUGGCGAAGGCGGCUUUCUGGCCAGUAACUGACGCUGAGGCGCGAAAGCGUGGGGAGCAAACAGGAUUAGAUACCCUGGUAGUCCACGCCGUAAACGAUGGAUACUAGGUGUAGGAGGUAUCGACCCCUUCUGUGCCGUAGUUAACACAAUAAGUAUCCCACCUGGGGAGUACGGCCGCAAGGUUGAA